rnacentral:rRNA from 1 species
UACGUAGGGUGCAAGCGUUGUCCGGAAUUAUUGGGCGUAAAGAGCUCGUAGGCGGUUCGUCGCGUCGGCUGUGAAAACGCGAGGCUCAACCUCGCGCCUGCAGUGGGUACGGGCAGACUAGAGUGCGGUAGGGGAGAUUGGAAUUCCUGGUGUAGCGGUGGAAUGCGCAGAUAUCAGGAGGAACACCGAUGGCGAAGGCAGAUCUCUGGGCCGUAACUGACGCUGAGGAGCGAAAGCGUGGGGAGCGAACAGG